rnacentral:lncRNA from 1 species
GAAUGAGUUGCAGAGCUGGGAGUAGAGGCUCAGGCUUCUAGUGACCCUGUUUCUUCCUCGAUAGCUCGCUCUGGUGGCGCUAUGCUCAGGUAACUGCGCAUGCUCGGUUUGAUCUUUUGUAAAUCCCUGCCCCAUUUUGGGGGAGGUUCUUGGGAGGCUUCUAUUCAUUUUGGAGCAUUUAAGUAUCUUGUCCUCUCUCCCUCCUCCCAGAUGCAUGGACAUUUCUGCAGGCCCCCAGGCUGGCCCUUGUGCGUGGGAGUGUCUCCUGCCUCCACGUUGCUUGCAUGCCCCCUUCUGAAGGUGCUCUUCCCUGCAUGGAGCCCCCUCGUGCCUGCCUCCACACUGCAGGCUGUUCGGUAAAUGUUACUGACUCAGCAUCGUUGUUUUCUAGAAAUGGGACGGGGUAUGGAGGCCAAGUUCUUUUCUGUUUGAAGGCUGCGAUGGUAUCGUCUUGCCUUCCCCGUGUGUGCUCCUUGAGGGUGUCGCUGUGCUGCCGUCAUCUGUGUUCCCUAGGGUGCCUCCCUUGGAGUCCCGGCCGUAGCAGACAUGCAGUCAGUGCUCAUGGCCUAAAUAAGAGGAAGGCCAACGGAGCCAUUAAAUCUGGAAAAUGACAAGUGAGGGAAAGGAAUUAUUAUUGAAGGCAUGUGAAAAAGAAAUCUUUUUAGAAAAGUUGACCUGUUUCUUAGCUGGAGCUGAAUUUCAGCUCAGAAAAGCAGCUGUGUGCCCAGAGGGCUUUGGGAUUUCAGUUUGGACAGAUGAAUUUAAUUUGUUGUUGUAUUAUCCUUUUGUGGUUUUAUUAGACCUUUCUCCCAAAUGGAAUCGAUUUUUCUAUAAAAGUCACACUUCCUUUUUGAGAAGUGUAACACUAAUUGUAUGGGAUGGUCUCCCAAAAGAUUACCUGCCAGGAACCAAACACACUGCCUCAGACUCACGGCCCCUGGUUUCUGCCUGUGCAGCUGCAGGGGAGACGCCGAACUGAAAUCAAGACGCAUGUCUGCAUCUUCUCUUUCUUUACUGCUGUUUCGUCUCUGAGCUGGCCUGCCUUCAACGUCUAGGAGCUUGGUGGGUGUAGACACAUUACGGUAUGGAGGAGGGAUAUGGUGUUGCAACAUCCAGGAGACUCACUGAAGUCUCUGUUCUCUUCCUGCUCACUGCUCUGACUUUGUACAAGUCGCAUUUGUAGGGCUGUGCACAGUGGUUUACACCUGUAAUCCCAGCACUUUGGGAGGCCGACCUGGGAGGAUCUCUUGAGCCCAGAGUUCGGAACCAGUCUGGGCAACAUGGUGAAACCCCAUCCCUACAAAAAAUAAAAAUUAAAAAAUUAGCCAGGUGUGGUGGCUCAUGCCUGUAAUCCCAGCUACUGGAGAGGCUGAGGUGCGAGAAUCACUUGAGUCCGGGAAGUUGAGGCUGCAGUGAAACAUCAUCACGCCACUGCACUCGUCUGGUCAGAGCAAGACCCUGUCUCAAAAAAAAAAGAAAAA